GUCUCUAGAACAGACCAUUUGAUUGCCUACCGCGUCUUGUGUGCAAGAAUCACAUGUCGAGAGUUUCCUAACUCGAUAUUAUUAGAUUUUGUUUGAUUCAAUUGAAUAUCGCGCGCGCUACAAGUAGCCCUCUACCAUCUUUACUGAGUAAAAAAAGAAAAAACUUGACUGACCUAACCCAAUCUAAUCUAACUUAACCAAAAACUACAGACGCAGAAUAAAUUUGAAUCAAGCUCUUGAAAUGAUACAUUAUUUUACGUGUUGAGUUCACUUUAUUAAACAUACUAUUAAAAUAUUACGUUAACAAAAAUAAAUCAUAUCGUAAUAUUGUUAUGAAAGAGACAGUGCAUGAUUUGAAUAACACUAUGAAUGAGGAGCAUAUCCAUGGGAAUGGAGAGGCAACUAUUCCUGAAGAAUCUCCUGCAAAACAAAAAUUGAGAGGAUGGCUAAAUCGACAUCUGCGAAUUGAAAUGACUGAUGGAAGAAUUUUAAGAGGAGCAUUUCUUUGUACCGAUCGUGACGCCAAUGUUAUUCUUGGUUCAAGUACUGAGUUUCUGUCCACCGAACAUACAGAAGCCAGAGUAUUAGGUUUGGUAAUGGUACCUGGUCGACAUAUUGUUUCAAUACAUCUGGAUGCUUGAAAUGCAGCAUCAUUCUUAUUCUUCUGUAAAUAAUCCAUUGUGUGUAUUUAUUACAUUAAGUCAUUAUGAAUGUAACAUAUUUUUCCUAAAAAAAUUGAGUUUUUGUAUUUCAGAUAAAUUUGUAAACAUCAAAAGAUAUAAAUGUUAUCAGAUAUUAAUUUAUUUGUUACUGCACAUUUAUAUUUUACCCAGCUUUAAUUUUAUUAAAAUCAACUUAUAAAAGUCACAGAUAAAAUUAUAAGAAAAUUAAAAGUUAUAAUUACAUAUACUUGAUAGGAAAUUUUAUUCUAAUUUUACUAUAAAAAUUAAGUUUUAUUAUGAACAGUUCUAAAAUCCACUAUGUUCAAUAACAUUAAGAAGUAUAAAUUUAACAAAUUUAUACUUGCCAGAUUAAUAAAUAGUAUAAAUUUUUACUUGUCAGAUGUAUCUUUAGCUGGAAAAAACAAUGAAACAAUAAGAUUGCUGAAACUAUACAUAUGUAUUAAUAAAUCUCAAGAUUGCUCUCAACUUCUAUUUUCACAUUACUUAAUGCAUCAUCUAUCCUUUGACAAAGUGAGUUGGAUAGACUGUCCAUCCCAGAUAGAAAACUAAGCUCUGAAGCAGCCACUGCCAUUUUGUGCACAUAAUCCAUAUAGCCAGUUAAUUUCUAAUGAAAAAACAUCAAAUAGAAUAAUUUUCAACCUAAGUCUUUAUAUACAUUGAUAUUAUAUAAUGUAUUUAUCACUAGAAAAAAAUGUAUGUAUUAUGUAUUCUGAAGGUAAAGAGAAAUUAAUUUUAAUUUUAUGCCAAAAAUAGUUGUAAAAUUAUGUUGUAUAUAGCGCAAUGUAAUUAUUCUUUUUAAACAAUUCUGUAUUAC